AUUUACCCUGGCCACUUGAAUAGUGUCAAGCUUUAUCUUUGGCAAUGUUUUAUUAGUAACGUCUAAGUGAGAGAAAUACAAAAUAAAAUUUUGGCACCAUUGGAAAUAUUAGAUGUGCUAUUGUCAAAGUUCAAGCAGUGGAUCACAAUCAGGACUUAAAAGACUCCAUGGAAGCUGAAUGUAUUUAAGAUUAUUAGAAUGACCAGUUAGGAGUGUCAGUAGAAGCCUCCCUGGAUAUAGUAAUUCUCUCUGUGAUGGUUACAUUCUCUUUCAAAAAAUUUGUCCUUUCAUAGCAUUCUCUCCCACCUGCACCAAAGUGUCAUAUUCUGCCUUGAAACAGAGAUUUUUCCUAUGAGCUUUUUUUGUAUAGGUGAUAUUAUACUAAGAGGAUACAUUAAUGGUAGUGAAAUUUCUGGAUCAAAGUGUCCAUAUAUCUAGUAAUGUUAUAUCUAAAGUUUCAGAGUUAUAAUUGAAAGACAGUCAUUAGAGUACCUACAGAUUCCCUUAAAUUUUAUGCACAAUAUGACGUAUAUGUGAACAUAUGUAUAAUUUUCUGUCCUUUUAUUAGAAUCUCAAAGGGGUUUCUCUUUAAUCUCAAAACAUAUCCUAGACUUUAAGAUCCUGAGAAUAGGGUUGUAGAUAAUGUUAGGUUUUGAAGGGAAGGCAAGAGUUAAAGACAGAAAGAGGGAGAGUUGGUGGCUCUGCAGCAAUGCAGUUUUAUUGCUGGUGCAACCUGUGGAAGUUGGGGACCAGCUUAAUGCCUGAGCCCACUGUUGUUUACAGGCUGGGGUAAUUUAUAGGCCUGAGUGGGAGGGGUCUGGGCAGUAUGGCUUGCUGCCUGGGAGGAUAUUGAUAAGGUGUUCCUAUGAUCAGGUGGUUUGGCCCUUUUUCUGGUGGGAUAUGGUUAGAAUGUUCCUUGGACUUUUGCCCAGCAGGAUAUAAGAGGGGUGUUCCUUAAGCAGGGAAUGAAAAAGAUGUUCCUGUGCUUUGUGGUCAGGUGGCUAGGCAGGAUGUUUCUCAUGGCCUGAACCCCCAUGGAAUGUUUCACCCUGACCAAGGCCUGCAAAAUGGAGGGGAGACUUGCAAAAUGGUGCAGUCUGGACUAACAUAUAAUUUUCUCUAAUACAGGGCCAUGCACAUAAAUGUUAAUAAGUGGCAGAGAAAACAGCUUUGCAAAUAUAGUAUUGGGGGCAGAUUUUUUUCUUCAAUAAGACAACGUACCUGGAGUCUUUUUAUAUACUUUUCUCCCUCUUAUGGGGUCUUACUAUUUCUUCUUACCCUAAAUUUUCUUGUCAACCUUGUCAAUUUCUUGUUAAAUGUCCUCUCAACUUUCUGAGGUCUGAAAUGAGAAUGGAAAGGAGUAGAUAGGGCUCCAAAAUAUUUUGUGUUUUAAAUGGAGAGAAUAUGGCAUUGUGGGGAAAGUAAAAAUAUCUGUGUGUUAUUAAGGAUGAUGAUGGAGGAUUUGAAAAGGUGGCAUCAGUGUCAUGGGCUGUUGUUUAACGCUAAUCUCCAGGAAAAGUGAGCCAUCCCUCAAUAUUUUCCUUCCAGCUUCCCUGGUUCCCAAGUUAAGAUGACUGAUGACAUAAGAAGCUUCAAUGCUCCUGUUUGGAAGAUUCAAUCAUGAGAAAGUAACACAGCAAUGAUGAUGAUGAUGAUGAUGAUGAUGAAGGUUACAAUAAGGAUAAUAAGAUAACGAUGAUAUCACUGUAAAGCAAUGAUGAAAUUGUCCAUGCCAUGACUUCCUGCUUUAGAUAUUUCUUAGAUAACCUCCGUAUAAAGUAAGUUCUCUGAAAACUUCCAGGAAACUUGAUUCCUCUGUGCCAUAUCUCUCCUGGCUCAUUUGUCUUCCUUAUUCAGAGAUCUAUAAAAAAGACUCCUCCAGAUAUGAGGUAGCUAAGGAGGCAAGAGUGAACAAGACAGUCAGUUUUCUUUUGCACCAUUCCUUCUUGAGGUGAGUAAUUUGGGGCAUAUGAUAUGGUGGCUUUUAUGUGUAGGACUGCUGUCAGGAUUUUUCCAGAUAUUGUCUUUCUAGUAAUAACUGUUCCAGCUUCCAUAAAAGAUAAACUGAACUCUCAAAAUUGCAUUUGGGUACUAAAUGCCACACAGAAAGUUAUCCUAAACAUUUUUCCACACAUAUUUGUUAAUGCACAUAUUUUUUAUUGAUUUUAGGGGUAGAGGAGCAAAGGGAAUAGUCUCUAACGAAUAGAAAAGAAAUACAGAAUCUUAGGAGCUGUGACUGUUCUCGCAUCUAAUGAAGAGUAAAGGGAUAUAGAAUCUCAGGAGCUGUGAUAUUCUCCCAAGUGGGAGGGUACAGGAAAUCGUUCCUCUAUCUUAUUGUGUUCAUUGAAGUUUUAUAGGACCUGUGUCAUAAAUAUUCUGAAUGUUUCUCCGCAAAUUUCUUUAAGGGAGAGUGAGGAAGCAAAAUGGCUCACUUCUCAUUGUGGAUCCAAGCCAGUUUUAUCAUCAUGUUGGCACUUUAUUUUUCCUCUGAUACUGUAACAUCUCGGUUGCUUGACAACAGGAUGCCACCAGACUGUAAGGCAUAUGGACAACCACCAUUUCCUUGCAGCAGGGAGUAUGAUCCUCUCUGUGCAUCUGAUGGACUCCCCUAUGGUAACGAAUGCAUGUUUUGUCUGGACGUUAGAAAAAAUAAACCUUCUCUUACUUUUCAACACUGGAACGAAUGUUGACCUUUGUCGAUGCGGUGCUAUACAUUCCUAUGACAUUUCUUGUAAUCCUUUCUUGUUGGAUUCUAUGGAAUGUAGUAUGUAGUGCUUUAAAUUCCUACAAAAGUAGACGGAUGCUAUUUUAGAGGGAGUAUAGAUUAUAAAAAUUGGAAUACUCUUAUAAUUCCAAAGCACUAUAAUUUAAAAAUUAGAAUUAUCUAUCAGUAUUCAAAUAUUUGAGGAAGCUCUGAAAACACAGAAAUGUAAUUGUGUAUUUUAAUGAUGAAACAAAGAUAUUUCUCAAUCAAUAAAUACUUUGCUCAAUGAACUUGUUGCACGAUAUUUACUUUAUUAAAAUCACUUUUACUUUUGUGAUUGCACAUAAUGUAUAAUAUAGCUAAUGCUACCUAAAACAAUGUUGCACAGACUUGUUUUUUAAUAUAUAAAAAAGUAUAGAUAUCUAAGACUCUCCAGAUUAUAAUAAAUCUAAAUCUUCGGGACAAAAGUCUAGUGUCUAAAUUUUAAUCAGCACCCUAGGUGAGGCAAGCAUUGACAGAAACUUUUAGUCUUAAAAAUAGUUUAAUAUUUACAGCAAUCCAGCUUCCAUACAUAUUUCAGGAAAAUUUCACUGUAUUUGUUCCGGUACAGGCUAAGCCACCAUAUUAGUUAUACAAUAUAUAUAAAAAUUAAGGCUAGGCCUGGUGUCUCACACCUGUAAUCCCAGCACUUUGGGAGGAUCA